UUUCGUGGAAGAGGAGCGAGGAUGUAAAGGUUAGAAAAUGGUAACUGAAUGAGUGUUCUCUUUUUUCUGCCUCUGACUUGAAGAAAUAUAUUUGUUAAUAUAUAGAAACUUAGAUCUGUAAUCAAGCUGUGAAAGAGAGUACUGUAACAGAGACUUCUAUAAGCAGAGGUAAUUAGACGGUGUAGUACUAUGGCGGUGGUAUACUGAUUUGGCGUAAUAAUUACUGACAUGACUUCGUGUGUACAAUCUUACAGACUUGCUGUUUUUCAUUCAGUUGAAGAGCUCUCCAGGCUUAACAUCUUUCUUGGAUAAUUGUGUUGUUAAAUAUGAAGGUGUCCGAGGACGUUCAGUUCUUGUAUGCGGCGUAAAACUUGAACUACCUACAGAUGAUUUCGCCAGUUCAACGGAAACUUAGAAUAACCAAGGGAACUUUCUCAGUUUUUUUGUUUUUGCUCUUCUCAGAUUUUAGGCUGGGGGUAUUAACAUAUAUGCCAACCGUAAAUUUAGAUAUUAAUGUAAGAUUAAAUAGGGAUAAAUCCUUCUGCCAUGUUGACUAAUUAGAAUUACAAAGAAGAAAAGAAAUUAUUAAAGAAGAGAUAUAGUCGAAUAGGUUGUUGUGGUGUUUCUUUGAUCUUCACUAGACCUCUCUUUUUUGAUUGGCAUGGCGAUGAUCUGUUUCUUCUGGUGUUUCUCUGCUUCAGGAUUCGCUCAUGUGCCAAAGCCAGCUCGGGGAAGCCUUCCUGGACUCCUGAUCAACCAGGACAAUCACGACACGGCGAGUAGAUUUUGAAUCUUUCUUGCUUCGUCGGAUCAGAUUCGAUGUGUAUAUGGUAGUUAUGGACUGCUGACUGCUUAAUGUUGUGUUUCCUCUGUGUACUAUGGUGCGUGUUGUUUUCAGAGCUUAAGCGAGCGGAACGUCGAAGGAGGAUCUUGGGGAUGACGGAGGCGUCGACGACAACCUCAAAGGCGAGAGGUAUUGCUUUCAUGUCUCUACGUUUCUUACUUUAUGCUCUGUCGGUAUUAAGG